UACGUAGGGAGCAAGCGUUGUCCGGAAUCAUUGGGCGUAAAGCGCGCGUAGGUGGCUUCGUAAGUCCGUUGUGAAAGUCAAAGGCUCAACCUUUGAAAGCCGAUGGAUACUGUGAAGCUAGAGUACGGAAGAGGCGAGUGGAAUUCCUGGUGUAGCGGUGGAAUGCGCAGAUAUCAGGAGGAACACCAAUUGCGAAGGCAGCUCGCUGGGACGUUACUGACGCUGAGACGCGAAAGCGUGGGGAGCAAACAGG
rnacentral:rRNA from 1 species